rnacentral:rRNA from 1 species
CCUACGGGGGGCUGCAGUGGGGAAUAUUGGACAAUGGGGGCAACCCUGAUCCAGCCAUGCCGCGUGUGUGAAGAAGGCCCUCGGGUUGUAAAGCACUUUCAGUGAGGAAGAACGCCUGGUGGUUAAUACCCAUCAGGAAAGACAUCACUCACAGAAGAAGCACCGGCUAACUCCGUGCCAGCAGCCGCGGUAAUACGGAGGGUGCGAGCGUUAAUCGGAAUUACUGGGCGUAAAGCGCGCGUAGGUGGCUUGAUAAGCCGGUUGUGAAAGCCCCGGGCUCAACCUGGGAACGGCAUCCGGAACUGUCAAGCUAGAGUGCAGGAGAGGAAGGUAGAAUUCCCGGUGUAGCGGUGAAAUGCGUAGAGAUCUGGAGGAAUACCAGUGGCGAAGGCGGCCUUCUGGACUGACACUGACACUGAGGUGCGAAAGCGUGGGUAGCAAACAGGAUUAGAUACCCUUGUAGUC